ensembl:antisense Gm12977 predicted gene 12977
GACAUUCCACCUCAGACACGACCUGUGAGACCCUCUCAAUAAGGGACUCGAACUUACUUUGCCAAAGGAUCCUUGGCCCAGAACCUUGAGGAGCUCAAACUGGGAUGGAUCGGCCUUCUCAGAGCCAGCCUUGACGUGGUGUGUGAUGGAGAUCUCCUUGAGGAUGGCCUCAUCCUGACAGAGGGACAGAGCUGGGCUCUGAUAACGGUCUGUGGUAGACGGCCUGUGGAAUUGUGAAAGACGCCUCCCCGAGACCAAAGCGCUGACUGCUUCUUCAGACAGGAGCAGCCAGCCCGAAGAUUCUCCACAAGCGCUUCUGCCAGGAUUCCCUCAACCCGCCAGCCCCCAUUAACAGGGAAAGAAGCACUGUAGCUACCAGAAGGGACGGGAAGAAGAAAAUGCACUCAGGAUUUCCUUAGUUGAACUGCGUGAGGACCUGAAGCCUCUGAUGAGGGGAAGGAGGGACACACUUAUAUUCCUGACCCUCCCCAGAGCAGCAGGAGGAAAAGCCUAUCGCCACACCAUCUGAUCUUUGUCCUCUCGGGCCUCCACUCAGGGCCUCUUGCUACGGUCAAGCCUACUUGUCUGUCGCUCAUCCUAGGGGCCACUAACACUCGCUUCCCCAGCUGGCAACAUCUGCAGGACCUCCCAGGUGGGAGACAACUGUCCUGCUACAGAGCUGCAGUUAAGAUGCUGUCGCUGCCCAGAGGUGCAGAGACGGUUGAGGGUGAAGACCUUCUGGAUGAAGACAGUCCAGCUGGGUCUUGAAGAUGAACAGGCAUGCGAUAGACAGAAAGGGACAGAAAGGGUCCACGCUGAGAAUGAGCGGUGUAAGCAAGGCCCAUGGGAAGUGGGGUAAUGGCUCCGUGCAAGUCACCUGCUCCCAGGCAAAAUGUCUACCUCAGUAUCUGCCUCUCCACUGCCAAGAUGAAGGUUCAAACC